UACGGAGGGUGCAAGCGUUGUCCGGAAUCACUGGGUUUAAAGGGUGCGUAGGCGGGCAGGUAAGUCCGUGGUGAAAUCUCUGAGCUUAACUCAGAAACUGCCAUGGAUACUAUUUGUCUUGAAUGUUGUGGAGGUAAGCGGAAUAUGUCAUGUAGCGGUGAAAUGCUUAGAUAUGACAUAGAACACCAAUUGCGAAGGCAGCUUACUACACAAAUAUUGACGCUGAGGCACGAAAGCGUGGGGAUCAAACAGG
rnacentral:rRNA from 1 species